rnacentral:rRNA from 1 species
GACGAACCGUGCGAACGUUGUUCGGAAUCACUGGGCUUAAAGGGCGCGUAGGCGGGCUCACAAGUCAGGGGUGAAAUCCCACGGCUCAACCGUGGAAGUGCCUUUGAUACUGUGGGUCUUGAGGGAGGUAGGGGCGUGCGGAACUUCCGGUGGAGCGGUGAAAUGCGCAGAUAUCAGGAGGAACACCGGUGGCGAAGGCGGGGUCUCUGGGCCGAUAUCGACGCUGGAGGAGCGAAAGCGUGGGGAGCGAACAGG